GUUUUCCGGUACCUCGCACUGUUCUCAAGGCCGAUCCUGAGGAGCCAUGAGCAAAGAGAGGGAGCUUGUGGAACGUACACACCAGUGGCCCACACGGCGUCCUCCUGUCCCAUCAUUGCUCAUUUGUACUCACGGUAGAUAAUUUCCAUGGUUUGCCACUGCAAAUGCUUAUGACUUGUGUCUUCCUUUUCCUGACAGUUUUCUCUAGGACCAUUCAGUAAUUCCCCAAUGUGUUUCACAUGACUCUCAGGGAGGCCACGGAGGAUGGGUCCUGUGGCUCAGAGAAGCCUGGUCAGCAAUCUACUUCCUUUGUGCUUCUCAAACCAACGGAGCCUACCUAACUUCACAAAGAAUCCAGCAAACUAACUCUUUAAAUUGACAGUUUCAUUCACCUGUAAAACAAUGACAGUACCUUUCUGACAGUAGACCAGGCUGGCCUUAAACUCAUGGAGAUCUGCUUGCCUCUGCCUCCCAAGUGCUGGGGUCAAAGGCGUGUACCUGAAAGUUACUUUUUAAAAGAAGUUAUAUGAUGGCAAAUGGCUACCAUUUGGGAAAGUAUCUAUGGUUGGAUAACUAUCUUAUUCUUUAUAGCAAGACAAACUCAAAACAUUCAAAGGAGCAGAAGCCAGUAGGAUCUCAGGAACCACCCAUUAAUUCGUUUUGUAUGGGUUUCUACCCUCUGCCCUUCCCUUUCUCCGUCCUUCACUGAACAGUCACAUCUUAGGGUUAUAUCUUGAAUUACUAACACUUGAAUCAUGUCUUGUUUUUUGGAUUUUUUUCUUUUUGUGCUAUAAGUCCAUGGUCAGCUGGCUCCGCUGAUUAUUUCAAAGUACUACCAAGCAUACAAACAAAAGUCAACAAUUAUAAAAUAACAUUAGAUUAAUACAUCUUCAUCAGUUUUACAUACUUAUACAACAAAUACUUUUUGGAAACUCAACGAAUGAGAGCAUCCACCUUUUGUUUCCACGUGAAAACAUGUACUUGAACAUGUCUUUUUCUUCUGUAUCAUCUGUAGCCAAGGUUAACCAGAUUAUAAUAUUACUUUACUCUCCAGUUUCUGCGGUUUCAAUAAUAAACCUUUUCUGAUGGU
ensembl:processed_transcript 6530401F13Rik RIKEN cDNA 6530401F13 gene